rnacentral:lncRNA from 1 species
ACGGGACUUAAAUUACAGCCCUGAAGACAUGGGGCGGUACUAGCAGAGCCUCCCAAGCUGCCGGGGUGGCCAGGCCUGGCCGGUGCUGCCUGCAUGCGGAGGUGGAGUCUCCGCUGCUGGAGGUCCCGAGGAACAGGUUAGACAUGCAUCUGCCCGAGAGGCUGGGGUGGCGAGGCAGUGCCGCCGGAGCCCUUCCAGCCCCCUCCUGCAGCCGGCUGGGAAGUAACCUUUGCUCCUCUUUCAGCUCCUGAAGAUAAAGCCAAAUGGGGAGGCACCCUACGUGGAGAUGGCGUUCACCGAGCACAGGCAGUGCGAGUGCAGGCCCCGGCAGGACCUGAUGAGGUUGGGAAGGUAAGUGAUGUCAGGGGUGGCGUUACCGGCUGGGAUUGUGGGUCUCAUCUCCCACACAUCAGCCUCUCUUGUGGUGCUUUUCUUUCAAAGGAGGAGGUCCAAGGGCCGAGGUAAGAGAAGACAAGACAAGAAGAGACGUAAAGACUGUGAACUGUAAGUGAGCAGGGACAGGUAUGGGUGGUGUCUUCUGGGUUUAUUUCUUUGGGAUGAGCAGCUUCAUUAAGCCUUUAGGUCUUUACUGACACUGUGAGCAGUGAGAGGUUUGUGCAGAGCAGAACAGGAAAAAGCAGGGCAGAGGGGAUAGUGCAGUCCCAGGGUUUUCUGGAUCCACGAAUUUCCACUUUCAGCCUCAUCUUGCUGCCUGCUCUGUCCUUCCUGACGUCCUUGGCUGGUUGUUGUUUGGGUUACUCUACCCUUUCCCUCUUUAUAUUUAGCUGACUCUCAAACCGCUUGCUGUAACAGGGCAGGCUGGACUCCUACUGUGGACACUUUUGGGGUAUGGUGCCUGUGGCUGGCACUUCCCUGUUGCAUUUCCCCGUUUUGGCUGAAGCCUGCUCUUCGGUGUUCAGCCAGCACCUACAGCCCCA